GUCAACCUGUAUUUGAUUGUAUUCUAAUGUUACCUGUUUACUAAAGGAGUAAGUUUUCAUGUACAUGUGAGUGUAUGCUUCUGUACCUCAAAUCCUUUAGUUAAUUUGAUUUUUUAAUUCUUGUCACCUACUAACAGGAGGCUUCACAUGCUAUACAUACUACCCAUAUUCUGACCAAGAGGAUAAGCAGCCUGAGAAGGAAAGAGAUACGAGGAAAGGAAAGUUCUUGAUCAGACUGUUUUUCCAGUGUCUCUUGAGGGCCUGGCCUCACUUACAGAAGUUUUUUUUUCUGAUGCCUGAGUGCGCCUCUCCAUCAACUGUUUCUUUCAACAUACUUGAUGUCAUCUGGGAUCAUCAUUCAAGAAUCCUUUCAGUUCUGCCUUGCUCAUUACUGAGGUACAUGGUCACUUUUCUUUCUUAUUUUUCAACAAUUUUUUUAUCAACUGCUGGAUUUUCUAAUCACAACUGUAAAGAAAUAAGGAUAAGGCCUCAAUGACAUCAGUUGAAGGCUGUCAAUUAAUGACAGCUGAAGGUCUGGCCAUCUCAUUCUCCAUGGCUUGCCUUUAAAUUCAUAAGUUUGUCUGCUGUUAUCUAUAAUUUAACUCUGUCACUGUUUCUUUUAACUGUGUAAAU
rnacentral:lncRNA from 1 species